rnacentral:rRNA from 1 species
UACGUAGGGUGCGAGCGUUGUCCGGAAUUACUGGGCGUAAAGAGCUCGUAGGCGGUUUGUCGCGUUGUCCGUGAAAACUCACAGCUCAACUGUGGGCGUGCGGGCGAUACGGGCAGACUGGAGUACUGCAGGGGAGACUGGAAUUCCUGGUGUAGCGGUGAAAUGCGCAGAUAUCAGGAGGAACACCGGUGGCGAAGGCGGGUCUCUGGGCCGAUACUGACGCUGAGGAGCGAAAGCGUGGGGAGCAAACAGG